rnacentral:rRNA from 1 species
UACGUAGGGCGCAAGCGUUAUCCGGAAUUAUUGGGCGUAAAGAGCUCGUAGGCGGUUUGUCGCGUCUGCCGUGAAAGUCCGGGGCUCAACUCCGGAUCUGCGGUGGGUACGGGCAGACUAGAGUGAUGUAGGGGAGACUGGAAUUCCUGGUGUAGCGGUGAAAUGUGCAGAUAUCAGGAGGAACACCGAUGGCGAAGGCAGGUCUCUGGGCAUUAACUGACGCUGAGGAGCGAAAGCAUGGGGAGCGAACAGG